rnacentral:tRNA from 1 species
UGGCUCAGUGGUAGAGCACUUGCCUUACAUGCAUGAGGCCCUGGGUUCGAUUCCUCAG